rnacentral:rRNA from 1 species
CAGCAGCCACGGUAAUACAGAGGGUGCGAGCGUUAAUCGGAUUUACUGGGCGUAAAGCGUGCGUAGGCGGCUUUUUAAGUCGGAUGUGAAAUCCCUGAGCUUAACUUAGGAAUUGCAUUCGAUACUGGGAAGCUAGAGUAUGGGAGAGGAUGGUAGAAUUCCAGGUGUAGCGGUGAAAUGCGUAGAGAUCUGGAGGAAUACCGAUGGCGAAGGCAGCCAUCUGGCCUAAUACUGACGCUGAGGUACGAAAGCAUGGGGAGCAAACAGGAUUAGAUACCCAGGUAGUCCCUGUCUCUUAUAC